CUUCCCCGCGCACCUUGGCAACGCUCCUGGCCCACGCCGGAGCGACCCCGCGCCCCUCCUGGACCGGUCAGGAUCCAGGCCCCUCUUGCAACCUGUGGGUCUUUCAUGGGGUAGAAUUCUAAAUCCUCUACUUCGUACGCUCCCCAGCAGUCCCACACUGGCAUGGGAGAGAAUGAAGUUCUUUGUCUCUAAGGGAUGCAGACCAGAGACGAAGGAACCACUGGGUCUCAGAGGCAGGAAAAUCCAUGUUGUCUGCUGCCCGAGGGAGUUGUUGCCAUAACCUCUUUGGGAUGAAGUACUGCCAACUACCAACAGUUGUUUCCCAGCGGCCAUCUCCCGGCCUUCUUAAGCCACUCCUAACAUCUGGUAGAGGAGGCUCAGGAAGGAAAUCUCUGAAGGGAUUUGUACCUGUAUGGGGAAUAGGGGUGCUUUAGGGUCUUCCUGUGUGAGCACUUCUUCCUAUACAGAUCGAUUUUGUAUGUGUGUGCGUCUUCAUUUCCAAAUAACUAAUGCUAACACGUCCUCAUAAGAGUUUCCUUGCGGAAAUAUUUAAAUAGUUUUAACCAGUUGAUUUUCGUUUCUGUCCAAGGUGUGCUUUUUAAAAUCUGUAAGGAGA
rnacentral:lncRNA from 1 species